GCCAAAGAGAAAUACGCAAGAAGGGCCACCUUGGAGGAAACUUGCUGGAGAGCUUCUUUCUCCUCCCGGCUGGACCUCAUCCUUAUCCUCUCUCUCUCUCUCUCCCACCCCCCCUCCUCUUGCCAUUCCCCACCCCUCCCUUGCUGCAGCUGGGGGUGGGACGGAAUAGCCUUCCCUCUGCCCUUUCCUCGAUCCAACAGGCUCCCUUCUCUUUCCAGCCCAGAGCGCUUUAAAAAGCUCUUCCUCUUGUGCCGGAGCCACUCGGGUCAGGAGGGAGCGGGUCGCAUCCUGCCUUGCUUUGCCUUGCCAGAGGAGGAGAGAGGAGUAGAAGAGGGGCAGGGUUUAACCCGUCGGCUGCCAGGGCCCUCUCCUGAAAGCAGCUGCCCUCUCCCUCGCCUCCUGCCCGACUGCACAGGACACCUCCCUCCACACACACACACAAACACGCACACACCUCAGAACAGAAAACCCCACACCGUAACUGCUGCCUGGCGCCUGAGAAGGAGAAACCACCUCUGCCUCGUUUCAGCCGGGAUCUCAGAAGAAGAAAACAAGAGAAAGCGGCUCAAAAGUCAAGCAACCCAAUGAAAAGAAGACUUGAAGUGACUGGUCUUUAUCAUUCCUGGCCUUCUUUUGAGGCAGAUCUUUUCUUGGAUAAGAGCUGGAAAAAUACAGUAAGUAUAUUUUCCUUUCCUCUGAACAUUUUUUAAAAAAUAUUAGAACCGAAUACUAGAAUAUAGGAAGUAAUGAGCAUGGGCAGAAUAAUUUUCCCUUGAGUCCUCUGAACAGGAUUAAAGUAACAGAGCUGUGCAAGAGACUUUGAACAUGCCCGGUCUGUUUCCCCGGUCUCUCUACCCCAAAGCUGUGGUUAGUCCCAGAGCAGAAACCAUUAGCUGCUGUGGGGUGGGGAAGGAUACUAAGAUAUGAGGGAAGCCCUUCCCCGAGCACUCUUGGGAAUAAAGACCAAGUUGUCCAUCCUUCA
rnacentral:lncRNA from 1 species